UACGAAGGGGGCUAGCGUUGCUCGGAAUCACUGGGCGUAAAGGGCGCGUAGGCGGCGUUUUAAGUCGGGGGUGAAAGCCUGUGGCUCAACCACAGAAUGGCCCUUCGAUACUGGGACGCUUGAGUAUGGUAGAGGUUGGUGGAACUGCGAGUGUAGAGGUGAAAUUCGUAGAUAUUCGCAAGAACACCGGUGGCGAAGGCGGCCAACUGGACCAUUACUGACGCUGAGGCGCGAAGCGUGGGAGCAAACA
rnacentral:rRNA from 1 species